rnacentral:rRNA from 1 species
UAUCUCUGUAGAGUCUGCAUAUCAAUAAGCGGAGGAAAAGAAACUAACUAGGAUUCCCUUAGUAACGGCGAGUGAAGCGGGAAGAGCUCAAAUUUGAAAUCUUCAAGGUUUUACCUUGACGAAUUGUAGUUUAAAGAAGUGUUUUCUGUUGGAAGUUUUGGUAAAAGUUCUUUGGAAUAGGACAUCAUAGAGGGUGAGAAUCCCGUAUUUGACCAUUAUUUCCAACUUUGUGAUACACUUUCAAAGAGUCGGAUUGUUUGGGAAUGCAGUCCAAAAUGGGUGGUAAAUUUCAUCUAAAGCUAAAUACUGGCGAGAGACCGAUAGCGAACAAGUACCGUGAGGGAAAGAUGAAAAGAACUUUGAAAAGAGAGUUAAACAGUACGUGAAAUUGUCAAAAGGGAAGCGUUUGACACCAGUGUUGUUUUCUCGAAAAUCAAUUAAAAAUGGCGGGAUUUUGUGUUGUAUUGACUUUAUCAGCUUUCUGCACUUUUUUCCUGUCUUUUUUAAUGCACUUUUCGUUUAACAAGUCAACAUCAAUUUCUUUUGUUGUAAAAGGGUCAUUGGAAGGUGGCUUUCUUUUCGGAGAAAGUGUUUAUAGCCUUUGACUUCUGCAAUCGGAGAGAUUGAGAUCUGCAGCGUAGAUCCUUCGGGGUUAGAUGCAUUUGUGCUAAGUUAUAGCCUUUCAUAGACAACUUGUUGACUAUGAUCAGUCAUGUAGCUUACUCGCUUAUGUCAUUUUACCUACGCUUAGGAUGUUGAUCUCUCACAGUCGAGC